rnacentral:rRNA from 1 species
AUUGAACGCUGGCGGCAGGCCUAACACAUGCGAGUCGAACGGUAGCACAGAGAGCUUGCUCUCGGGUGACGAGUGGCGGACGGGUGAGUAAUGUCUGGGAAACUGCCCGAUGGAGAGGGAUAACUACUGGAAACGGUAGCUAAUACCGCAUAACGUCGCAAGACCAAAGUGGGGGACCUUCGGGCCUCACACCAUCGGAUGUGCCCAGAUGGGAUUAGCUAGUAGGUGGGGUAAUGGCUCACCUAGGCGACGAUCCCUAGCUGGUAUGAGAGGAUGACCAGCCACACUGGAACUGAGACACGGUCCGGCCUCCUACGGGGGGCAGCAUUGGGGAAUAUUGCACAAUGGGCGCAAGCCUGAUGCAGCCAUGCCGCGUGUAUGAAGAAGGCCUUCGGGUUGUAAGUACUUUCAGCGGGGAGGAAGGCGGUGAAGUUAAUAACUUCACCGAUUGACGUUACCCGCAGAAGAGGCACCGGCUAACUACGUGCCAGCCGCCGCGGUAA